UUCCGGUUGAUCCUGCCGGACCUGACUGCUAUCGGAUUGAUACUAAGCCAUGCGAGUCAUUGUAGCAAUACAAGGCAUACGGCUCAGUAACGCGUAGUCAACCUACCCUAUGGACGGAAAUAACCUCGGGAAACUGAGAAUAAUAUCCGAUAGAACAUUAUGCCUGGAAUGGUUUAUGUUCCAAAUGAUUUAUCGCCGUAGGAUGGGACUGCGGCCUAUCAGUUUGUUGGUGAGGUAAUGGCCCACCAAAACUAUUACAGGUACGGGCUCUGAGAGGAGUAGCCCGGAGAUGGGUACUGAGACACGGACCCAGGCCCUAUGGGGCGCAGCAGGCGAGAAAACUUUGCAAAUGGUGCGAAAAGCCASGACAAGGGUUAAUCCGAGUGAUUUUCUGCUAAAGAAGUCCUUUGUUUAGUCCUAGAAACACUAACGAAUAAGGGGGUGGGCAAGUUCUGGUGUCAGCCGCCGCGGUAAAACCAGCACCUCAAGCGGUCAGGAUGAUUAUUGGGCCUAAAGCAUCCGUAGCCGGCUCUGUAAGUCCUCGGUUAAAUCUGUACGCUUAACGUACAGGCUGCCGGGAAUACUGCAUAGCUAGGGAGUGGGAGAGGUAGACGGUACUCGGUAGGAAGGGGUAAAAUCCUUUGAUCUAUUGAUGACCACCUGUGGCGAAGGCGGUCUACCAGAACACGUCCGACGGUGAGGGAUGAAGGCUGGGGGAGCAAACCGGAUUAGAUACCCGGGUAGUCCCAGCUGUAAACUAUGCAAACUCAGUGAUGCAUUGGCUUGUGGCCAAUGCAGUGCUGCAGGGAAGCCGUUAAGUUUGCCGCCUGGGAAGUACGUACGCAAGUAUGAAACUUAAAGGAAUUGGCGGGGGAGCACCACAAGGGGUGAAGCCUGCGGUUCAAUUGGAGUCAACGCCGG
rnacentral:rRNA from 2 species